UACAUAUCCUUCAGGUGUAAAAUGUCACUAACUGACGACGAAUAGUGGACAUUUCAUUGUUUCGAACAUGCGAGGUCGCAGGACGGCUGGCUGGCUAGCAGGCUAGGUAACGUUAACGCUAGUCACUGGCUUAGCAACGGCAGCAGUGCGCUAGAGUCAGUGUUGUUUGAACAGAAGGUUAGAAGCCAGUUGUAUUAAACAUGCAAACACAAAUUAAUUGCAUGCAGAUAAGUGUUCCAAAACAUGCAACAAAAAAACCGUAUUCAUACAGCAUAUACAGGGUUAGCCAUCUAAACGGAAAAAGAGUCACAUCUGGAUCACUAACUUACUGUUCACAAAUAAAACAACGAAUUGAAAUUUGAGGACUUUAUUUUAACCGCAACCGCUCUGUGUCCGUGACGAGGUCGAGGGACGGGACCGGACCAACCCAACACUCGCUUCCAUCGUGGUUGCAGGACCGAACCGGUGGUCCCAGAUCCCGUGGAACCAGGAGAAGACAUUUCCUCUUGAGGAAGAAAGAAAACUGCUUAACUAAAUGCCUGGUCUGAAGCAACCACGUAAAUAUAAGCUAACUAGCUAGCUAGCUAUUGUAGAAUUCCGCCUAGCUAGUAGCCACUUGCUAGCAAGCUCAAUAAAGAAAAAAGACGGGUGUAAUAACUCUUCCAGAUACAAAAAAACAAA